rnacentral:rRNA from 1 species
CCGCGGUGAAUACGUUCCCGGGCCUUGUACACACCGCCCGUCAAACCAUGGAAGUUGGGGGCGCCCGAAGUCGCUGAUAAAGCGCCGAAGGUGAAACCGAUGACGUGGGGUU